rnacentral:rRNA from 1 species
AGUGAACGCUGGCGGUAGGCCUAACACAUGCAAGUCGAACGGCAGCACAGUAAGAGCUUGCUCUUACGGGUGGCGAGUGGCGGACGGGUGAGGAAUACAUCGGAAUCUACUUUUUCGUGGGGGAUAACGUAGGGAAACUUACGCUAAUACCGCAUACGCCCUACGGGUGAAAGCAGGGGAUCUUCGGACCUUGCGCGAUUGAAUGAGCCGCUGUCGGAUUAGCUAGUUGGCGGGGUAAAGGCCCACCAAGGCGACGAUCCGUAGCUGGUCUGAGAGGAUGAUCAGCCACACUGGAACUGAGACACGGUCCAGACUCCUACGGGAGGCAGCAGUGGGGAAUAUUGGACAAUGGGCGCAAGCAUGAUCCAGCCAGACCGCGUGGGUGAAGAAGGCCUUCGGGUUGUAAAGCCCUUUUGUUGGGAAAGAAAAGCAGCAGGUUAAUACCACGCUGUUCUGACGGUACCCAAAGAAUAAGCACCGGCUAGCUUCGUG